UACGUAGGGGGCAAGCGUUAUCCGGAUUUACUGGGUGUAAAGGGAGCGUAGACGGCAUGUCAAGUCUGAUGUGAAAGGCUGGGGCUUAACCCCGGGACUGCAUUGGAAACUGGCAGGCUGGAGUGCCGGAGGGGUAAGCGGAAUUCCUAGUGUAGCGGUGAAAUGCGUAGAUAUUAGGAGGAACACCAGUGGCGAAGGCGGCUUACUGGACGUGCACUGACGUUAAGGCUCGAAAGCGUGGGGAGCAAAC
rnacentral:rRNA from 1 species